AGCAGCCGCGGUAAUUCCAGCUCCAAUAGCGUAUAUUAAAGUUGUUGCAGUUAAAAAGCUCGUAGUUGAAUUUCGGGAUUAGUACGCUGGUCGUGCCUUUGGUAUGUACUGGUGUUACUGAUUCCUACCUUCUGACGAACCGUCAUGUCAUUAAUUUGGUGUGGCGGGGAAUCAGGACUGUUACUUUGAAAAAAUUAGAGUGUUUAAAGCAGGCUCGCGCCUGAAUACAUUAGCAUGGAAUAAUGAAAUAGGACAUUCGAUCCUAUUUUGUUGGUUUCUAGGAUUGACGUAAUGAUUAAUAGGGAUAGUUGGGGGCAUUAGUAUUCAAUUGUCAGAGGUGAAAUUCUUGGAUUUAUUGAAGACUAACUACUGCGAAAGCAUUUGCCAAGGAUGUUUUCAUUAAUCAAGAACGAAAGUUAGGGGAUCGAAGACGAUCAGAUACCGUCGUAGUCUUAACCAUAAACUAUGCCGACUAGGGAUCGGAUGAUGUUAUUUUUUAAUGACUCA
rnacentral:rRNA from 1 species